rnacentral:rRNA from 1 species
UACGAAGGGUGCAAGCGUUACUCGGAAUCACUGGGCGUAAAGGGUGCGUAGGCGGGUCUUUAAGUCAGGGGUGAAAUCCUGGAGCUCAACUCCAGAACUGCCUUUGAUACUGAGGAUCUUGAGUUCGGGAGAGGUGAGUGGAACUGCGAGUGUAGAGGUGAAAUUCGUAGAUAUUCGCAAGAACACCAGUGGCGAAGGCGGCUCACUGGCCCGAUACUGACGCUGAGGCACGAAAGCGUGGGGAGCAAACAGG